UACGAAGGGGGCUAGCGUUGCUCGGAAUCACUGGGCGUAAAGCGCACGUAGGCGGAUCUUUAAGUCAGGGGUGAAAUCCUGGAGCUCAACUCCAGAACUGCCUUUGAUACUGGGGAUCUCGAGUCCGGAAGAGGUGGGUGGAACUCCGAGUGUAGAGGUGAAAUUCGUAGAUAUUCGGAAGAACACCAGUGGCGAAGGCGGCUCACUGGUCCGGUACUGACGCUGAGGUGCGAAAGCGUGGGGAGCAAACAGG
rnacentral:rRNA from 1 species